UGCUAGUGCGCAAUCUCUUCCCUCAUUUCUCACUCAUUCUUUCUAAGUUGCGGCUAGGGUUUCCAGACCUCUUUCAUCUUCUCAUCUCAGGAAAAGGUAUAACGGGGGAAACAGAGGGCUCGUUCUGGACGUAGAUCUUGCAUCGAUGGACCAAUCUGUGGGAAAAAACUAGGGUUUUCUCGGUUGCUGCUGUAUCUCUGCGCGUUAGGGUUUUCUUUCAAUCGGUCGAGGAAAUGGCGACUGCGAACCCUUUCGAUCUGUUGGGAGAUGACGAUAACGACGAUCCGUCGCAGCUGAUAGCUGCUCAGCAGCAGCAGCAGCAGCAGCAGAAAGCAGCACCGAAGAAAGCCCUAGCUCCAACGCAAGCUGCUUCUCAGAAGCAGCCGCCGGCGGCUAAAAUGCCCUCCAAACCUCUUCCUCCAGCUCAAGCCGUGAGGGAGACGAAGAACGACACAGGCGCUGGGCGUGGUGCAGGACGCGUUGGCGGACGUGGAUUCGGACGCGGACGUGGCGGGGGUGGUGGAUUUAAUCGGGACUUUGGAAAUACCGAGAACACAUUUAAUAAUGGUGCGGUCGAGGAUGGUGAUGUCGGAAGGUCCUCGGAAAGAGGGCGUGGGUCCUAUGGUGGCGGGCCCCGCAGUCCUCACCGUGGUGGCGGCCGUCGUGGUGGUUUCAGUAAUGGAGAGGCAGGGGACGGUGACCGUCCGCCUAGGAGGCAAUUUGAACGCCGCAGUGGGACUGGACGCGGCAAUGAGUUUAAACGCGAAGGGGGUGGUCGUGGCAAUUGGGGAACUCAGACUGAUGAAGUAUUUGCCCAGGAAACUGAGGAAGUUAUCAAUGUAAAUGAGAAGAACUUGAGCCAAGAGCAGCAGCCAGGAGAGGAAGAUGCUGUAGGUGUCCACAAGGAGAAUGCUGCCACUGAGCCAGAAGAGAAAGAACCUGAAGAAAAGGAGAUGACUCUGGAUGAGUACGAGAAGGUACUAGAAGAGAAGAGGAAGGCCCUGCAAGCCCUGAAAACAGAGGAGAGGAAAGUGGAUUUGGACAAGGAAUUUGAAUCCAUGCAACAGCUUUCUUCUAAGAAGAGCAAUGAUGAUAUCUUCAUUAAAUUGGGCUCUGAAAAGGAUAAGCGGAAAGAGAUUGCUGACAAGGAAGACAAAGUUAAAAAGGGUUGAAGGGCCUGAAAAAAGGAUGAGAGGAAGACAUAAAAGGAUGUUGCUUGACAUGAUAAUAAUGGAUGAAGUCUUGUUCACUACUGAUGAAAGUGAUUAUAGAGCCUUAGAUUGGAUUGAUUGGUGAAACAGGCUUUGUAAUGCCAACCCCAAAUAGUGGGAACAAUGCUAUGACGAUGGUGGCACCUCUUCACAAGUAGCUGUUUGUUUUCUUUGUUUCAAGUGACCAAUAAACACAAAUAUCAAACAGUUGUUUGAUAUGUAAUUUAUUGGUCUGGAAACUCGGAUUUUGAGCCACUUAGCAUAAACGAGUUCUUGAAGCCCGCAGAAGGGGAGAGGUACUACAGCCCUGGUGGCCGUGGCCGUGGUCGCGGAGGCCGUGGUUCUAGAGGCGGAUUUUCUGGAUUUUCUGGAGUCGAUGUGAUGAAUAAUGCGGCAGCU